CACAAGCAGCGGAGCGUGUGGUUUAAUUCGAUGCAACGCGAAGAACCUUACCAGGGCUUGACAUCCCUCUGACAGUCCCUUAACCGGGACCUUCUUCGGACAGAGGAGACAGGUGGUGCAUGGUUGUCGUCAGCUCGUGUCGUGAGAUGUUGGGUUAAGUCCCGCAACGAGCGCAACCCUUGUCUUUAGUUGCCAUCAUUCAGUUGGGCACUCUAGAGAGACUGCCGAGGACAACUCGGAGGAAGGUGGGGAUGACGUCAAAUCAUCAUGCCCCUUAUGUCCUGGGCUACACACGUGCUACAAUGGCUGGUACAAAGAGACGCAAGACCGCGAGGUGGAGCAAAUCUCAAAAACCAGUCCCAGUUCGGAUUGCAGGCUGCAACUCGCCUGCAUGAAGUCGGAGUUGCUAGUAAUCGCAGAUCAGAAUGCUGCGGUGAAUGCGUUCCCGGGUCUU
rnacentral:rRNA from 2 species